rnacentral:rRNA from 1 species
UACGAGGGGGGCAAGCGUUGUUCGGAAUUAUUGGGCGUAAAGAGCUCGUAGGCGGUUUGUUGCGUCGGCUGUGAAAUCCCGAGGCUCAACCUCGGGUCUGCAGUCGAUACGAGCAAACUAGAGUGUUGCAGGGGAGACUGGAAUUCCUGGUGUAGCGGUGAAAUGCGCAGAUAUCAGGAGGAACACCGGUGGCGAAGGCGGGUCUCUGGGCAGUAACUGACGCUGAGGAGCGAAAGCGUGGGGAGCGAACAGG